UGGGGAAUAUUGCACAAUGGGCGAAAGCCUGAUGCAGUAACGCCGCGUGAGUGAUGAAGGCCUUCGGGUUGUAAAGCUCUGUCUUUUGGGACGAUAAUGACGGUACCAAAGGAGGAAGCCACGGCUAACUACGUGCCAGCAGCCGCGGUAAUACGUAGGUGGCAAGCGUUGUCCGGAUUUACUGGGCGUAAAGGAUGCGUAGGCGGAUUUUUAAGUGAGAUGUGAAAACCCUAAGCUUAACUUGGGGACUGCAUUUCAUACUGGAAAUCUAGAGUGCGGGAGAGGAGAAUGGAAUUCCUAGCGUAGCGGUGAAAUGCGUAGAGAUUAGGAAGAACACCAGUGGCGAAGGCGAUUCUCUGGACCGUAACUGACGCUGAGGCAUGAAAGCGUGGGUAGCAAACAGGAUUAGAUACCCUGGUAGUCCACGCCGUAAACGAUGAGUACUAGGUGUAGGAGGUAUCGACCCCUUCUGUGCCGCAGUUAACACAAUAAGUACUCCGCCUGGGAAGUACGAUCGCAAGAUUAAAAACUUAAAUGAAUUGACGGGGGUCAUAGCUGUUUCCU
rnacentral:rRNA from 1 species